UACGAUGGAGCAGCAGCGUUGUUCGGAUGUCUGGGCGUAAAGCGCACGUAGGCGGAUCGUUAAGUCGAGGGUGAAAUCCUGGAGCUCAACUCCAGAACUGCCUUCGAUACUGGCGAUCUCGAGUCCGGAAGAGGUGAGUGGAACUCCUAGUGUAGAGGUGGAAUUCGUAGAUAUUAGGAAGAACACCAGUGGCGAAGGCGGCUCACUGGUCCGGUACUGACGCUGAGGUGCGAAAGCGUGGGGGAGCAAACAGG
rnacentral:rRNA from 1 species